rnacentral:lncRNA from 1 species
UGGGUGAUAGAAGCUUUUUGCUCUGUUUUUAUUUUUGGAGAGGAGCGCCCUGUAAUUGUCCUAAACACAUGCUUCUCUCUCCACCCCCCCCCUUCUUCCUCCAGCCACCAACGGAGGAGAGAGUCCCCCUUUUUUGCAUUUAUCUUUUCCUUCCCCUUUCUUUAUUAAAGGUCCGGGAGUGGCGGCGCCCAAUCAGCGCGCGGCUUCCAUUUUGUGAGUUCAACUCCGAGGCUCCCGGGCUUCGCGAGGACGCAUUUGCAGCCCCCUCUGCCUGUCCUCUCGGGCGGCCGAGGCGAAGGAGCCGCCUUUCUGGGGCUUCGUGGUGGUGUAUUUCAUAUUGGGGCUCUUUUCGGGGUUUGUAAUUUGGCCGUGGGUAGGUAAUUGGCUGGAGCAGGGCGGCAGGGCGCGGCAGCCAAUCAGCGCGCGGCUUCUAUAGGGCUUGAGUUAUUAGACGCUGAUCUCAAAACAUCGUUCAUCAGACACCAAGGAGAGGCCAACAGAUGAGGGGAGCCAUUUUUCUGCAAUGGAAUUAAAUGGCCAAGUGGGUUUUUCCUUUGUUGCAAAUGGGGAAUGCUUUUCCUUUGACUCCACCAUCCAGUUCAGGACGCCUCAGUGUUGUGUUUAACAUUUGUCAACAGGCUAAAGGACUCACAAUUGGAAGAAUGAAGAAGACUUUUUAAAAAGAUCUGGAUUUUUCCUUAUGACUUGGAAUCCAUCUUUGUCUUGUAUAACUAGGUCAUAGCACACCAUUAAUGUCAGCAGUUAACAAUUUUGAAUUCCAAAAAACCUAAGUAAAUGACAUAUUUAAUUUUUUUCCUCUUUUUUUUCUUGGGUGGGUGGGGGGAGCUUGGAGCUGUCUUAAUCUGUAUUCUCUUGACUGAACAAUAAAUUUUUAAAUAUAUAUAGUUUCCUCUAUUAAACACUUAAACCUGGCCAUCUUAUUAACUCCUUCUGCUCUCUUUUUAACAAGGUAAUGUUUUAAAUGUAUAGUUUUAGGACUAGCGAAAUGGCAGCAACAAAAAAUUGUAAGCAGUUGUUACUUUUAAGCUUUUAAAAAACCUUUUACGUUGUAAGUACCCAAUCCAUUCUGUCCUUACGCAGUGCAGUUUUCAUGUUAAUGUUGCUGAGAUGUCCUUAAUUUUCUGAACCUUCAUCUGCAUGUAUGUCUUUGUCGCUCUUGUCUAAUAUAAGCCAGUUAAAAUGCUUUUAGACGAUUUUGCUUUUAUAAAGCUAAGGUUUUUUAGCUUUAAGCUUUUGAAAAUGUUUAAAGCAAUAAAUGCUAGUCAGCUUUCUUCCCAGUAACAUGUACACGUUCUUUGAAAAUCGAUCUAUUUGAAGAAAAACAGCUCUGUUUUUCUCGUCUUGGUAGGGGGGUGGGUGAGGGAAAGGAAGACCUUCUCUUUGUGUACAGAGUCUAAAGCCGUCACAGGAAACUAGAUUAAAACUGGAAAACAAGUCCUAGCUGGUUGGAGCCAAACACCAACGUUAACUCGCGGGUAUUUUCUAUGGUGGUUGGGAUGGCCGUGCGUCUUUUGCCUUUUGUUUGAUUUGACUGUGUAUUUUCGCCUUUUGUCUCUUAAUGACGAUCACACCAUUGCUAUAUCCAGAGCAGUAAACAGUCCUCAGCGAAGCCGCCUUUUGCCAACCCAACCCUGGAAAGUUUGCAGAAGUGGAAGGAGCAGAAAAUGCCAUGAGAGUGUAACUUACAAAAAGGU